GUGUGUACUGCGGAGAACAUCGCUGGAACACAUUCUCCGAUUUCAAACAUAAGAACGCUUUCAAUACUUCCGAAAUCAAGUCAAGAAUGCUACAGUAGAAGAGGUUAUGUCCCAUGAGGCGUGAAAGCGAAAAUGAUUAGUGUCAGUCUUCACUAUGGCGAGGAGGCAGUGCUCAGUUUGAACAGAGUGAAGGACCAACUGCUUCCUCAUGACUGACCCCGGCAUUUUAACAUCGAUGGAAACAAGCCACUCGUCCAAGUCAGACCUGACAAAACAUCAAUGGAGACGAAGAAUAACUCGCGACCAAGAGCAUUGACACAUCAGGAUGAACAGGUGCAACAGUUUUAAGUUCCCCAGGAUAGUGGGGACGAAUGAUUUUAUUAUGCGCUUUAAAUCUCUGAGGUAUACAUGCUUCCCGAAAUUGGUGGCUUGCAUUGGAACUAACUUUUCCCCCCUUGUCCGUCAUUAAAGGCAUUCAAGUGUGUUGGUCAACCACGACUAUCUCCUUUGUCCCUCCACCAUAAGGCCUAGUUUCCCCUUAUGACAUCACUAUUUCGGACACUCAGCGCCCCAUUUCUGGAACGGUGUAUAGAAGGUCGUGGUUCUCAAUAGAAACAUACCUCAACCCGACAUCAACCAAUAAGAAAAGACAUUUGUUCCUAGGGGACAUUCCCAACUGCUACAUGGGACACGAAUCAUAUCAAGACUUGAGCGCCACCUGUUCCCACAUGUCGUGCCUGCAGAGCUUCUUGUAAGGAAAUAUCUUCUUGUAAAAGCACGUGUCAGUGAUUGUUAUUCAUCCACAUAUCAAGACAUCAAUGUGUUUGUAAGUUGAACAUUUGAAUUUGUCCUGAAAAUAUCAA